rnacentral:rRNA from 1 species
UACGUAGGGGCCUAGCGUUGUCCGGAUUUAUUGGGCGUAAAGAGCUCGUAGGCGGUUUGGUGAGUCGGGUGUGAAAUCUCCACGCUCAACGUGGAGGGGCCACCCGAUACUGCCAUGACUAGAGUCCGGUAGGGGAGUGUGGAAUUCCCGGUGUAGCGGUGAAAUGCGCAGAUAUCGGGAGGAACACCAGUAGCGAAGGCGACGACCUGGGUAGAUACUGACGCUGAGGCGCGAAAGCGUGGGGAGCAAACAGG